rnacentral:rRNA from 1 species
GAUGAACGCUGGCGGCAUGCCUAAUACAUGCAAGUCGAGCGAACGGACGAGAAGCUUGCUUCUCUGAUGUUAGCGGCGGACGGGUGAGUAACACGUGGAUAACCUACCUAUAAGACUGGGAUAACUUCGGGAAACCGGAGCUAAUACCGGAUAAUAUUUUGAACCGCAUGGUUCAAAAGUGAAAGACGGUCUUGCUGUCACUUAUAGAUGGAUCCGCGCUGCAUUAGCUAGUUGGUAAGGUAACGGCUUACCAAGGCAACGAUGCAUAGCCGACCUGAGAGGGUGAUCGGCCACACUGGAACUGAGACACGGUCCAGACUCCUACGGGAGGCAGCAGUAGGGAAUCUUCCGCAAUGGGCGAAAGCCUGACGGAGCAACGCCGCGUGAGUGAUGAAGGUCUUCGGAUCGUAAAACUCUGUUAUUAGGGAAGAACAUAUGUGUAAGUAGCUGUGCACAUCUUGACGGUACCUAAUCAGAAAGCCACGGCUAACUACGUG